CUCAGGACGAACGCUGGCGGCGUGCCUAACACAUGCAUGUCGAACGGAGUAAUGAUUUCGGUUAUUACUUAGUGGCGAACGGGUGAGUAACGCGUGAGAAACCUGCCUUUCAGUGGGGGACAACAGUCGGAAACGACUGCUAAUACCGCAUAAUGUCAUUUGGGGGCAUCCCUGGAUGACCAAAGAUUUAUUGCUGAAAGAUGGUCUCGCGUCUGAUUAGCUAGAUGGCGGGGUAACGGCCCACCAUGGCGACGAUCAGUAGCCGGUCUGAGAGGAUGAACGGCCACAUUGGGACUGAGAUACGGCCCAGACUCCUACGGGAGGCAGCAGUGGGGAAUAUUGGGCAAUGGGCGAAAGCCUGACCCAGCAACGCCGCGUGAGGGAAGAAGGGUUUCGGCUCGUAAACCUCUGUCCUAUGGGACGAAGAAGUGACGGUACCAUAGGAGGAAGCCCCGGCUAACUACGUGCCAGCAGCCGCGGUAAUACGUAGGGGGCGAGCGUUGUCCGGAAUGAUUGGGCGUAAAGGGCGCGUAGGCGGCCCGUUAAGUCUGGAGUGAAAGUCCUGCUUUCAAGGUGGGAAUUGCUUUGGAUACUGAUGGGCUCGAGUGCAUGAGAGGAAAGCGGAAUUACCGGUGUAACGGUGAAAUGGGUAGAGAUCGGUAGGAACACCAGUGGUGAAGGCGGCUUUCUGGACUGAAACUGACGCUGAGGCGCGAAAGCGUGGGGAGCAAACAGGAUUAGAUACCCUGGUAGUCCACGCGGUAAACGAGGAGUGCUAGGUGUAGGAGGUAUCGACCCUUUCUGUGCCGCAGUAAACACAAUAAGCACUCCGCCUGGGGUGUACGGCCGCAAGGUUGAAACUCAAAGGAAUUGACGGGGGCCCGCACAAGCAGCGGAGCAUGUGGUUUAAUUCGAAGCAACGCGAAGAACCUUACCAGGUCUUGACAUCCAGUAAAACUUGUAGAGAUACAUCGUGACUUCGGUCAUACUGAGACAGGUGGUGCAUGGUUGUCGUCAGCUCGUGUCGUGAGAUGUUGGGUUAAGUCCCGCAACGAGCGCAACCCCUAUUGUUAGUUGCUACGCAAGAGCACUCUAGCGAGACUGCCGUUGACAAAACGGAGGAAGGCGGGGACGACGUCAAAUCAUCAUGCCCCUUAUGUCCUGGGCUACACACGUAAUACAAUGGCCGUCAACAAAGGGAAGCAAAGCCGCGAGGUGGAGCAAACCCCCAAAAACGGUCUCAGUUCGGAUUGCAGGCUGCAACUCGCCUGCAUGAAGCUGGAAAAACUAGUAAUCGUGGAUCAGCAUGCCACGGUGAA
rnacentral:rRNA from 1 species